rnacentral:rRNA from 1 species
UACGGAGGGUGCAAGCGUUAUCCGGAUUCACUGGGUUUAAAGGGUGUGUAGGCGGGCAGUUAAGUCAGUGGUGAAAUCUCCAGGCUCAACCUGGAAACUGCCAUUGAUACUAUCUGUCUUGAAUAUCGUUGAGGUAGGCGGAAUAUGUCAUGUAGCGGUGAAAUGCUUAGAUAUGACAUAGAACACCGAUUGCGAAGGCAGCUUGCUAAACGAUUAUUGACGCUGAGGCACGAAAGCGUGGGGAUCAAACAGGAUUAGAUACCCCGGUA